AGAACGAACGCUGGCGGCAGGCUUAACACAUGCAAGUCGAGCGCCCAGCAAUGGGAGCGGCGGACGGGUGAGUAACACGUGGGAACAUGCCCUUUGGUACGGAACAACUCAGGGAAACUUGAGCUAAUACCGUAUGUGCCGGUAACGGGAAAGAUUUAUCGCCAAAGGAUUGGCCCGCGUCCGAUUAGCUAGUUGGUGAGGUAACGGCCCACCAAGGCUCCGAUCGGUAGCUGGUUUGAGAGAACGACCAGCCACACUGGGACUGAGACACGGCCCAGACUCCUACGGGAGGCAGCAGUGGGGAAUAUUGGACAAUGGGCGCAAGCCUGAUCCAGCCAUGCCGCGUGGAUGAUGAAGGCCCUAGGGUUGUAAAGUCCUUUCGACGGGGAAGAUAAUGACGGUACCCGUAGAAGAAGCCCCGGCUAACUUCGUGCCAGCAGCCGC
rnacentral:rRNA from 1 species